rnacentral:rRNA from 1 species
GACGAACGCUGGCGGCGUGCUUAACACAUGCAAGUCGAACGGAAAGGCCCUGCUUUUGUGGGGUGCUCGAGUGGCGAACGGGUGAGUAACACGUGAGUGACCUGCCCUUGACUUUGGGAUAACUUCAGGAAACUGGGGCUAAUACCGGAUAGGAGCUCCUGCUGCAUGGUGGGGGUUGGAAAGUUUCGGCGGUUGGGUAUGGACUCGCGGCUUAUCAGCUUGUUGGUGGGGUAGUGGCUUACCAAGGCUUUGACGGGUAGCCGGCCUGAGAGGGUGACCGGCCACAUUGGGACUGAGAUACGGCCCAGACUCCUACGGGAGGCAGCAGUGGGGAAUAUUGCACAAUGGGCGGAAGCCGGAUGCAGCAACGCCGCGUGCGGGAUGACGGCCUUCGGGUUGUAAACCGCUUUCGCCUGUGACGAAGCGUGAGUGACGGUAAUGGGUAAAGAAGCACCGGCUAACUACGUG